rnacentral:rRNA from 1 species
GUGGGGAAUAUUGGGCAAUGGGCGAAAGCCUGACCCAGCAACGCCGCGUGAAGGAAGAAGGUUUUCGGAUCGUAAACUUCUAUCCUUGGUGAAGAUAAUGACGGUAGCCAAGAAGGAAGCCCCGGCUAACUACGUGCCAGCAGCCGCGGUAAUACGUAGGGGGCAAGCGUUGUCCGGCAUGAUUGGGCGUAAAGGGCGCGUAGGCGGCCCGGUAAGUCUGAAGUGAAAGUCCUGCUUUUAAGGUGGGAAUUGCUUUGGAUACUGUCGGGCUUGAGUGCAGAAGAGGUAAGCGGAAUUCCCGGUGUAGCGGUGAAAUGCGUAGAGAUCGGGAGGAACACCAGUGGCGAAGGCGGCUUACUGGACUGUAACUGACGCUGAGGCGCGAAAGUGUGGGGAGCAAACAGGAUUAGAUACCCCUGUAGUCC